rnacentral:RNase_P_RNA from 1 species
GGUGGCCGGAUAGCUGCGCCGCGGAAAGGAAAAUCCGAGGGUGAGGAAAGUCUGGGCUUCAUGGAAACAAGAUACCGGAUAACGUCCGGCCGGAGAAAUCCGAGGGAAAGCGCCACAGAAAAUUACCGCCGAAGCUUGUAUUCGGUAAGGUUGAAAAGGCGAGGUAAGAGCUCACCGCUGGCAUAGCAAUAUGACAGGCUUUAGGCAAGCCCUAUCUGAUGUAAGACCAAACAAGGUGUAUCGGGGAUUUCCCCGACGGAGCGUUUCCACUCUGUCCAAAGGUAGGUCGCAAGAGCAAACCGGCAACGGUUUGGUGAGAUGAAUAGCUAUCGGUGUCAAUCUUUGUCUUUAUGACAAAGCAAUAACAUAUACAAAACCCGGCUUACAGGCCAC